rnacentral:rRNA from 1 species
UUCUGGCUCAGAACGAACGCUGGCGGCAUGGGUUAGGCAUGCAAGUCGAACGGGAGCAGCAAUGCUCCAGUGGCGCAAGGGUGAGGAACACGUGAACAACCUGCCUUCGAGUUGGGGAUAGCUUCUGGAAACGGGAGAUAAUACCGAAUAACAUCAACCGGUCGCAUGACUGGUUGAUCAAAGCAGCAAUGCGCUUGAAGAGGGGUUCGCGUCCCAUUAGCUAGUUGGUGAGGUAACGGCCCACCAAGGCGAUGAUGGGUAGCUGGUCUGAGAGGACGAUCAGCCACAUUGGGACUGAGAUACUGCCCAGACUCCUACGGGAGGCUGCAGUCGAGAAUUUUGGGCAAUGGACGAAAGUCUGAACCCCCAGCAAUGCCGCGUGCGGGAUGAAGGUCUUCGGAUUGUAAACCGCUGUCAAGAGGGACGAAACAUGACGGUACCUCUGGAGGAAGCCACGGCUAACUACGUGCCAGCCGCGGC